rnacentral:rRNA from 1 species
ACUCCUACGGGAGGCAGCAGUGAGGAAUAUUGGUCAAUGGACGAGAGUCUGAACCAGCCAAGUAGCGUGAAGGAUGACUGCCCUAUGGGUUGUAAACUUCUUUUAUAAGGGAAUAAAGUGAGGGACGUGUCCCUUUUUGUAUGUACCUUAUGAAUAAGGAUCGGCUAACUCCGUGCCAGCAGCCGCGGUAAUACGGAGGAUCCAAGCGUUAUCCGGAUUUAUUGGGUUUAAAGGGAGCGUAGGUUGACAUAUAAGUCAGCUGUGAAAGUUUACGGCUCAACCGUGAAAUUGCAGUUGAUACUGUAUGUCUUGAGUGUACAAGAGGUGGGCGGAAUUCGUGGUGUAGCGGUGAAAUGCUUAGAUAUCACGAAGAACUCCAAUUGCGAAGGCAGCUCACUGGGGUACAACUGACACUGAGGCUCGAAAGUGUGGGUAUCAAACAGGAUUAGAUACCCUGGUAGUC